AUUGAACGCUGGCGGCAUGCCUUACACAUGCAAGUCGAACGGCAGCGGACCUUCGGGUGCCGGCGAGUGGCGAACGGGUGAGUAAUGCAUCGGAACGUACCUUUCAGUGGGGGAUAACGUAGCGAAAGUUACGCUAAUACCGCAUAUUCUGUGAGCAGGAAAGCAGGGGAUCGCAAGACCUUGUGCUGAUUGAGCGGCCGAUGUCAGAUUAGCUAGUUGGUGAGGUAAAGGCUAACCAAGGCGACGAUCUGUAGCGGGUCUGAGAGGAUGAUCCGCCACACUGGGACUGAGACACGGCCCAGACUCCUACGGGAGGCAGCAGUGGGGAAUUUUGGACAAUGGGGGCAACCCUGAUCCAGCCAUGCCGCGUGAGUGAAGAAGGCCUUCGGGUUGUAAAGCUCUUUCGGCCGGGAAGAAAUCGCACAGGCUAAUACCUUGUGUGGAUGACGGUACCGGAAUAAGAAGCACCGGCUAACUACGUGCCAGCCGCCGCCGUAAUAC
rnacentral:rRNA from 1 species